AGUGAACGCUGGCGGUAGGCCUAACACAUGCAAGUCGAACGGCAGCACAGGAGAGCUUGCUCUCUGGGUGGCGAGUGGCGGACGGGUGAGGAAUACAUCGGGAUCUACUCUGUCGUGGGGGAUAACGUAGGGAAACUUACGCUAAUACCGCAUACGACCUACGGGUGAAAGCAGGGGACCUUCGGGCCUUGCGCGAUUGACUGAGCCGAUGUCGGAUUAGCUAGUUGGCGGGGUAAAGGCACACCAAGGCGACGCUCCGUAGCUGGUCUGCAGGGAUGAUCAGCCACACUGGAACUGAGACACGGUCCAGACUCCUACGGGAGGCAGCAGUGGGGAAUAUUGGACAAUGGGCGCAAGCCUGAUCCAGCCAUACCGCGUGGGUGAAGAAGGCCUUCGGGUUGUAAAGCCCUUUUGUUGGGAAAGAAAUCCAGCUGGCUAAUACCCGGUUGGGAUGACGGUACCCAAAGAAUAAGCACCGGCUAACUUCGUGCCAGCCGCCGCCGUAA
rnacentral:rRNA from 1 species